GAUGAAGAACGUAGCGAAAUGUGAUACGUAGUGUGAAUUGCAGAAUUCAGUGAAUCAUCGAAUCUUUGAACGCACAUUGCACCUCUCGGUAUUCCGGGAGGUAUGCCUGUUCGAGCGUCAUUUGUACCCUCAAGCUCUGCUUGGUGUUGGGUGUUUGUUCCGCCUCUGUGUGUGAACUCGCCUCAAAACAAUUGGCAGCCGGCGUACUUGUUUCGGAGCGCAGCACAUUUUGCGAUCCAGAUCAACGUACAGCGGCAUCCAAGAAGCCUUAUUUAACGCUCUUGACCUCGGAUCAGGUAGGGAUACCCGCUGAACUUAAGCAUAUCAAUAGCGGAGGA
rnacentral:misc_RNA from 1 species